rnacentral:rRNA from 1 species
UACGAAGGGGCUAGCGUUGUUCGGAAUCACUGGGCGUAAAGGGCGCGUAGGCGGCUUUAUAAGUCGGGGUGAAGCCUGUGGCUCAACCACAGAAUUGCCUUCGAUACUGUAGAGCUUGAGACCGGAGGAGGUAAGUGGAACUGCGAGUGUAGAGGUGAAAUUCGUAGAUAUUCGCAAGAACACCAGUGGCGAAGGCGGCUUACUGG